GACGUAGGGCGCGAGCGUUGUCCGGAUUUAUUGGGCGUAAAGAGCUCGUAGGCGGCUUGUCGCGUCGACUGUGAAAACUCGGGGCUCAACUCCGAGCUUGCAGUCGAUACGGGCAGGCUAGAGUUCGGUAGGGGAGACUGGAAUUCCUGGUGUAGCGGUGAAAUGCGCAGAUAUCAGGAGGAACACCGGUGGCGAAGGCAGCUCGCUGGGACGGUACUGACGCUGAGGUGCGAAAGCGUGGGGAGCAAACAGG
rnacentral:rRNA from 1 species